GUUUGUGGCUCAGUGGUAGAGCAUUUGCCUGUCAUGCAUGAGGCAUUGGGUUUGAAUUCCCAGCAUUACA
rnacentral:tRNA from 1 species